GUGGGGAAUAUUGCGCAAUGGGGGAAACCCUGACGCAGCGACGCCGUGUGAGUGAAGAAGGCUUUCGGGUCGUAAACCUCUGUCAGAAAGGAAGAACCUCCCAAGUCCGAAUAGGGCUUGGGACUGACGGUACUUUCAAAGGAAGCACCGGCUAACUCCGUGCCAGCAGCCGCGGUAAUACGGAGGGUGCAAGCGUUAAUCGGAAUCACUGGGCGUAAAGCGCGCGUAGGCCGCUUUGUAAGUCGGACGUGAAAGCCCUCGGCUCAACCGGGGAACUGCGUUCGAUACUGCGAGGCUUGAGUCCUGGAGAGGGUGGCGGAAUUCCGGGUGUAGGAGUGAAAUCCGUAGAUAUCCGGAGGAACACCGGUGGCGAAGGCGGCCACCUGGACAGGUACUGACGCUGAGGCGCGAAAGCGUGGGGAGCAAACAGGAUUAGAAACCCGUGUAGUCC
rnacentral:rRNA from 1 species